rnacentral:lncRNA from 1 species
UCGACACCAAGUGCGAAGAGUUGAUACUACUCCAGGAUGCGAAAUUGCUCCUGGAGCUGCUCAACGUUUGGUUCUGAAAGUGAAGAAGACUCCACUUACGGAUCUGACGGGGAGUCGUCAGUCAGAUUCUCCAACCGACUAUCCCGAGAGGAAGAAGCCAUAGCCAUGAGAGAAGAAGACUAAAGAGAACAAAAAAAAGACCCAAGAAGGAAAGACAAAAAGACUUAACC